UACGGAGGGGGCAAGCGUUGUUCGGAAUUACUGGGCGUAAAGGGCGCGUAGGCGGCCUGUUAAGUCGAACGUGAAAUCCCCGGGCUCAACCCGGGAACUGCGUCCGAUACUGGCAGGCUUGAAUCCGGGAGAGGGAUGCGGAAUUCCAGGUGUAGCGGUGAAAUGCGUAGAUAUCUGGAGGAACACCGGUGGCGAAGGCGGCAUCCUGGACCGGCAUUGACGCUGAGGCGCGAAAGCCAGGGGAGCAAAGCGGG
rnacentral:rRNA from 1 species